rnacentral:piRNA from 1 species
AUCACCCUUCCCUCAUGGUCCUACAAG